GAUGAAGAACGCAGCGAAAUGCGAUAAGUAGUGUGAAUUGCAGAAUUCAGUGAAUCAUCGAAUCUUUGAACGCACAUUGCGCCCUUUGGUAUUCCAAAGGGCAUGCCUGUUCGAGCGUCAUUUGUACCCUCAAGCUUUGCUUGGUGUUGGGCGUCUUGUCUCUAGCUUUGCUGGAGACUCGCCUUAAAGUAAUUGGCAGGCGGCCUACUGGUUUCGGAGCGCAGCACAAGUCGCACUCUCUAUCAGCAAAGGUCUAGCAUCCAUUAAGCCUUUUUUUCAACUUUUGACCUCGGAUCAGGUAGGGAUACCCGCUGAACUUAAGCAUAUCAAUAAGCGGAGGA
rnacentral:misc_RNA from 1 species